rnacentral:rRNA from 1 species
GAUGAACGCUGGCGGCGUGCCUAAUACAUGCAAGUCGAGCGAACAGAUAAGGAGCUUGCUCCUUUGACGUUAGCGGCGGACGGGUGAGUAACACGUGGAUAACCUACCUAUAAGACUGGGAUAACUUCGGGAAACCGGAGCUAAUACCGGAUAACAUAUUGAACCGCAUGGUUCAAUAGUGAAAGGCGGCUUUGCUGUCACUUAUAGAUGGAUCCGCGCCGCAUUAGCUAGUUGGUAAGGUAACGGCUUACCAAGGCAACGAUACGUAGCCGACCUGAGAGGGUGAUCGGCCACACUGGAACUGAGACACGGUCCAGACUCCUACGGGAGGCAGCAGUAGGGAAUCCUCCGCAAUGGGCGAAAGCCUGACGGAGCAACGCCGCGUGAGUGAUGAAGGUCUUCGGAUCGUAAAACUCUGUUAUCAGGGAAGAACAAAUGUGUAAGUAACUGUGCACAUCUUGACGGUACCUGAUCAGAAAGCCACGGCUAACUACGUG